rnacentral:lncRNA from 1 species
CUUGGACAAUAAUUCAUCUGUAAAAUGGGUCUACGAACGGAAGCUUCUUCACAGACUGCUGUAAGAGUUUAGAAGCAACAUAAGGAAAGAUCUUAAAACAGUGCCUGGCAUGUUUUUUUAAAGGAUCCUGGCCAAGGAGCUAGGAAGGAAGUAGGAGAAACGGUGAUAUCCGGUGGGAAGUUUCGCUGGAAAAGUCUGACUACUCUUGGUUCCAACCACAUCUCCUGAAGACGGACUCCAGGAAACCAGGAUUUAAGUGACAGUCCGUGAGGAGGGUGAUGGGAAACCGAGUAGCGGACCUUCUUCCUGUGCUCACCUCCCCCUGGCACACGUCCAUCUUCUGGGAUUGCAGGAUCAUGGCAAAAAGUGCAUUCUCCAACAGGAACAUGACAUUCUCAUAGGAGAGGGAAAAGAGCAACAGAUGAACCAUCCAAUGACCUUUCAAAACUCAG